GGACAGGCUGUCAUCAGCUUCAGUGAACGAUCCCAGCUCCUUUCCCUUUGCUGGCUUCGUACUUAUUUUAGUCUGUUCUGCGUGCAUUUCGUAAAUAAGGUUCAAUCAAGGAGUGACCUGGCUUCUGCCUCAGCAAACAAAGCCUGGGUGACAUCGAGACUCUGUGUUAAAAAAAAAAAAUUGGAUUUUUUAAAUGAGGAGAUUGACUGUAAAUGGCAACUUCACAGACCGUCCUGAGUUGCACAUUGAAGCGAAGCCAGCAGUCCUGGGAUUUACAAUCAUAACCUCUUGGAACUGAACUAUUAACGAAUCCAAACACGAGUAUAUUAAGUCACCAACCCUGGCUUGAGCAAUUACCGACGUCUCCUCUUCAGUCAAUAAUUCUAAAAAUGGUUUGAACUGCUGCUUCUUUAAUCAGAUCUCAAGCUUGGAGAGGCUGCGUCUCCCUUUUCCCUGAAGAUAUUGCAGGAGCCGGAGUGAGAUGUCUCCCUUACCCCCUCCGCCCCAGGAAUCAUGUGACUAGUUUGAAGUCUGAAGAUGGAGAGGCUGAAAAUUAAGUGUUAAAUGAUCAAGUUUCUUGAAA